GACGAACGUUGGCGGCGUGCCUAAUACAUGCAAGUAGAACGCUGAAGGAGGAGCUUGCUUCUCUGGAUGAGUUGCGAACGGGUGAGUAACGCGUAGGUAACCUGCCUGGUAGCGGGGGAUAACUAUUGGAAACGAUAGCUAAUACCGCAUAAUAGCAGUUAUUGCAUGAUAACUGUUUGAAAGGUGCAAUUGCACCACUACCAGAUGGACCUGCGUUGUAUUAGCUAGUUGGUGGGGUAACGGCUCACCAAGGCGACGAUACAUAGCCGACCUGAGAGGGUGAUCGGCCACACUGGGACUGAGACACGGCCCAGACUCCUACGGGAGGCAGCAGUAGGGAAUCUUCGGCAAUGGACGGAAGUCUGACCGAGCAACGCCGCGUGAGUGAAGAAGGUUUUCGGAUCGUAAAGCUCUGUUGUAAGAGAAGAACGAGUGUGAGAGUGGAAAGUUCACACUGUGACGGUAUCUUACCAGAAAGGGACGGCUAACUACGUG
rnacentral:rRNA from 1 species